UUUGCCGGUCCUGUCAGCCCUUCACUUCUCCCUCCUUCAAUCUCCCAUUCAGCCUUCCUCCUUCAAUCUCCCAUUCAGCCUUCCUCCUUCACCGGUAGCAACUCAGGACCCACCUACGGCAGCGACGAUUGAACUUUUUCCCUCACUGUCGUCUUCUUUCGCCAUCCUCCGCCGCUACGCCACUUCCAGUCUGAUCAAAGUUGUUCUCCAACAAGCAUAGAUGAAUCUAUCAGUGAGUUGGAUCAGCUUGAGCAUUGUUCAGUGAAAAUGACUUUUGUUGAGCUAGAUGGACAACAAGGUAGUAAGAAAGAGAGAUGAGAGAAUUAUUUGCUUGUAGUUACAGUUCCAUCUCAUCAUCAUCAUCAUUUAAAUUUUAGGGGAGAUAACUGAGAAUCGGAGGCAGUCAUCUUCUUUAAGCUGAUUAUUGCUAGAGCUAGUGGUGGGCAGCUGCAUCAGUUAUAUAUUGAAACCUUUAUCUUUGAGCAGCCAGCCAGGUUACAUUUAUACAGAAAAUGUCUCGACGUAAUGCAAGCCAAAAGAAUAAAAGGCUGUGAGGAAAAAAUUAAGCAACUACAGGAAGAGAACAAGCAAUUGAAGGACAGAUUUGCAUGGGUGAAAGUUCAAAUUUCUACGUGGUUCAAAUCAGCCGUGUUUCUAAUCUACUUAUCCAGUCGGUAGCCAUGGAAGUAGUGGUGUUGGGUUAGAUGAUCUUGGAUUGAAUGAUGGAACACAUUCUCCUAUGCAAGAGCAAUAGGUCAAGAUUCUAACUUUUUUUGUGAUUCUACUUGUAAUAUAUGAAAUAUUUUGAUUUGUAUAGUAGCACUUUAGAAUUGGAAGAUAGUUUUUUGAAAGUAGAUAUUAGAAUUGAAACAUUAUUAUGUAUGUAACUAAAUUUGUUAUUGAAAUGUAUAAUAUUUGUAGUGUUAUGAAAUUACUACUAAUUUU